UGCGGGUUCGUCUAAUGGUAGGACACAUGCCUCUGGAGCAUGGUAUUGGGGUUCGAGUCCCUGACCCGCAG
rnacentral:tRNA from 2 species